rnacentral:rRNA from 1 species
CCUACGUGAGGCAGCAGUGAGGAAUAUUGGUCAAUGGGCGCGAGCCUGAACCAGCCAAGUAGCGUGAAGGAUGACUGCCCUACGGGUUGUAAACUUCUUUUAUAAAAGAAUAAAGUGAGGCACGUGUGCCUUUUUGUAUGUACUUUAUGAAUAAGGAUCGGCUAACUCCGUACCAGCAGCCGCGGUAAUACGGAGGAUCCGAGCGUUAUCCGGAUUUAUUGGGUUUAAAGGGAGCGUAGAUGGGUUGUUAAGUCAGUUGUGAAAGUUUGCGGCUCAACCGUAAAAUUGCAAUUGAUACUGGCAGUCUUGAGUACAGUUGAGGUAGGCGGAAUUCGUGGUGUAGCGGUGAAAUGCUUAGAUAUCACGAAGAACUCCGAUUGCGAAGGCAGCUUACUAAACUGCCACUGACAUUGAUGCUCGAAAGUGUGGGUAUCAAACAGGAUUAGAUACCCCUGUAGUC